rnacentral:rRNA from 1 species
UGACCGAUAGCGAACUAGUACCGUGAGGGAAAGGUGAAAAGAACCCCGGGAGGGGAGUGAAACAGUCUCUGAAACCAUGCGCCUACGAACCGUCGGGGCCCCCUUGUGGGGUGACGGCGUGCCUAUCGAAAAAUGAGUCUGCGAGUCAGUGGCAUGUGGCGAGCAUAACCCGUGUGGGGUAUGCGUAGCGAAGGCGAGUCUUAAAAGGCGUUUAAAGUCGCGUGUCCUGGACCCGAAGCGGGAUGAUCUAGCCCUGAGCAGGUUGAAGCGCGGGUAAGACCGUGUGGAGGACCGAACCCACCUGGGUUGAAAACCGGGGGGAUGACUUGGGGCUAGGGGUGAAAGGCCAAUCAAAUUCCGUGAUAGCUGGUUCUCUCCGAAAUGCAUUUAGGUGCAGCGUCGGAUCGAUUACAUCCGGGGGGUAGAGCGACUGGAUGCUUGCGGGCCCAUAUCGGGUACCAACAGCAACCAAACUCCGAAUACCCGUGAUGCGUAUCCCGGCAGUGAGUCGGCGGGGGAUAAGCUCCGUCGUCGAAAGGGAAACAGCCCAGAUCGUCGUCUAAGGUCCCCAAGCGUGUGCUAAGUGGGAAAGGAUGUGGAGUCGCAUAGACAGCCAGGAGGUUGGCUCAGAAGCAGCCACCCUUGAAAGAGUGCGUAACAGCUCACUGGUCUAGUGGUUCCGCGCCGACAAUGUAGCGGGGCUCAAGCACACCACCGAAGACGCGGCAGUAGCUUUGCUACUGGGUAGGAGAGCGUCCCAUGCGGGGCGAAGCGGCGGCGCAAGCCCGCCGUGGACCGCAUGGGAGUGAGAAUGCAGACAUGAGUAGCGAAAGACGGGUGAAGAUCCCGUCCGCUGGACGACCAAGGGUUCCAGGGCCACGUUCAUCGUCCCUGGGUGAGUCGGGUCCUAAGGCGAGGCCGACAGGCGUAGUCGAAUGGAUGAACGGGUCGAUAUUCCCGUACCGGCAUGCAACCGGCAAAACCGAAUCCGCGAGUACUAACCUCCGGGUCCGGGCUCACGUCUCCUUCGGGAGCCGGAUGCCCUGGCCUGUUGGGACCGUAACGGUAGUAGGUCAGCGCGGGAGUGACGCAGAAGGGUAGCCGGCCGCGGAGGUGGUCUUCCGUGGUCAAGCACGCAGCCCGUCCCACAGGCAAAUCCGUGGGGCGCGUGGGCGAGGUGCGAUGAUGGGCGCCGCAGGGCGCGAUAUCCGGUGAUCCCGGCUGCCGAGAAAAGCUUCGGCGUGAGGCGGCAUGCCGCCCGUACCCCAAACCGACACUGGUGGUCAGGUAGAGAAUACCAAAGCGAUCGAGCGAAUCCUGGUCAAGGAACUCGGCAAAUCACUCCCGUUCCUUCGGUUUAAGGGAGACCCCCGAUGGUGAAGCGGCUUGCCCGCGGAGCUUUUGGGGGUGGCACAGACCAGGGGGUAGCGACUGUUUACCAAAAACACAGGAGCGUGCGAAGGCGCAAGCCGCUGUAUACGCUCUGACGCCUGCCCGGUGCCGGAAGGUUAAGAGGAUCCGUCAGGCCUCGGCCGAAGCGGUGAAUUCAAGCCCCGGUAAACGGCGGUGGUAACUAUAACCAUCCUAAGGUAGCGAAAUUCCUUGUCGGGUAAGUUCCGACCUGCACGAAUGGCGUAACGA